rnacentral:lncRNA from 12 species
AAAGGUUUUGAUCCAUCUUGAGGAGUUUAAUUGGUUUUAAUGCAAUAAGAAAAUCAGGGAUGGAGGAGGUGGAUGCAGUUUGGAGAGAGGGAGAAUUUGGCACUUUGGGGAAAAAAAUGUGUUUUUAUCCAAGCAGCAAAAGUGAGCUGAGCCAUGGCCUGGGAGAGAGGGGGAUUGGAUUGGAUGGGAGUGGUGGGAGCUCCUCAUUCCCCAUUCUCCAUCCCAAAUUCAUUCCCAAUUCUCCAUCCCAAAUUCAUUCCCAAUUCUCCAUCCCAAAUUCUCCAUUCCCAAUUCUCCAUUUCCAGUUCUCCAUCCCACAUUCUCCAUUCCCAAUUCUCCAUUCCCAAAUCUCCAUUCCCAAUUCUCCAUUCCCAAAUCUCCAUUUCCAGUUCUCCAUUCCCAAAUCUUCAUUUCCAGUUCUCCAUCCCAAAUUCUCCAUUCCCAAUUCUCCAUUUCCAGUUCUCCAUCCCACAUUCUCCAUUUCCAGUUCUCCAUCCCAAAUUCUCCAUUUCCAGUUCUCCAUUCCCAAUUCUCCAUCCCCAAAAUCUCCACCCCAAACUCCCCAUUUCUCAUCCCAAUUCUCCAAUUCCAAUUCUCCAUCCUGAAUUCUCCAUCCCCAAUUCCCCAUUUCCAAUUUUCCAUUCCCAGUUCUUUCCAGUUCUCCAUCCCCAGUUCUCCAUUUCCAAUUCCAGUUCUCCAUCCCCAAUUAAUCCCCAAAUCCUCUACCUCCAAUUCCCCAUCCCAAAUUCCCCAAUUCCCCAUCCCCAAUUCCCACUCCCCAAUUCUCCAUCCCCAAUUCUCCAUCUCCAAUUUCAGUUCCCCAUCCCCAAAUUCCCCAGUUCCAAUUCCCCAAUUCCCCAUCCCCAAUUUUCCAUUUCCAAUUCCAAUUCCCAUCCCAAAUUCCCCAAUUCCAAUUCCCCAUCCCCAGAUUUUUUUUUCAUUUUUUAUCCCCAAAUUCCCCAUCCUCAAUUCCCCGAUUCUCCAUCCCCAGUUUUCUAUUUCCAAUUCCAAUUCCCAUCCCCAAUUCCCACUCCCCAAUUCUCCAUCCCCAAUUCCCACUCCCCAAUUCUCCAUCCCCAAAUUCCCCAGUUCCAAUUCCCCAAUUCCCCAAUUCCCCAAUUCCCCAUCCCCAAUUUUCCAUUUCCAAUUCCAAUUCCCAUCCCAAAUUCCCCAAUUCCAAUUCCCUAUCCCCAAAUUCCCCAUCCCCAAUUCCCAAAUUCCCCAUCCCCAAAUUUUCCAUUUCCAAUUCCAAUUCCCAUCCAAAAUUCCCCAAUUCCAAUUCCCCAUCCCCAGAUUUUUUUUUCAUUUUUAGGAAAGAAUUGUGUCCCAGCUGCUGUUUCAGCUUAACUGGGGCACUGCAGGUUAAUUACUCUCAUUUGUGUGUUUAAAAAACAUCUCAAAUUUGAUUUAAAUCCUUUUUAUUUUAUUUUUUUUUAUAGGGAAUUGGAAUUCUGGGAGGUGAAGGUCAAGAGCAGAUCCUUCCUUUACCGACAGGUACUGCCUGCAGCUGCUGCAGGACCCAAAUUUUACUUUUGCCACUCUAAAAAUUGAUAAUUUUAGCAAUUUUCCAGCUGUGAGACACUCCCAGGGACCUGGAAUCAGCAGGGGGAGGAUCUGGGCUCUUUAUUUGAUCCAUAAACCCAAAAAUCUCCUAAAUUUGUCCCUAAACCCCUCAAAAAAUCCUUCCCACAGUCUCUGCCCUUGCAGUGGUAAAAUUCUUUUUAAUAUUUUUGCUGUUCUCAGUGGGUUUGAGCCCAGGAAAAGCUGCCUGAAAUUUCAUUUUUUUGGAGAAAAAAAGAAGCAAAACUUUUCUUUUUUUUCCCUGAAACUUCUCUUGAUUUUUUUGGAAAUAAUUCCAAAUUAUUCCCCUGGAGGUUUGCUGUGCCCUCAGCUCAUCCUAAAUUCAGAAAUUAUUCCUGGGAGCAGGGAAGAGGCAGGAGAAAGUUUAUUUUUUGGAGGAGAGGGGGUGUUUUGUGGGAAGAGCAAGCAGCUAUUUUUUAAUUCUGUUUUGAUGUUUUGACAACCCAAAUUUGGGGGGUUUUUAUCCAGUGCCAAGCAAAACUCUGGACAACAAAUCUGAGGGGGGAUUUGGUGCCAAGAAAAU